UCUAAUGUGGCAGAUUAGUGCAAGGAACUUAAGAUUCUUAUAUAAAUAUCAAUAUUUCAUUAGAA
rnacentral:tRNA from 1 species